GGUGGCUACAAUUUGGGGGAGAGAAGAGGACAGUGUCUAAUGCUCAGGGGUACCAAGCAUCAAAUAAAAGCUCACACUAAAAAAAAAAAAUCAACAAGGGGGCUUGGCCACAGCACUGUUCCUUCACCAUGGACCAGCCCAGGCCAUCAGAACACU